UACGGGGGGGGCAAGCGUUGUUCGGAAUUACUGGGCGUAAAGGGCUCGUAGGUGGCCAACUAAGUCAGACGUGAAAUCCCCAGGCUUAACCUGGGAACUGCGUCUGAUACUACAAGGCUUGAGUGCGGGAGAGGGAUGUGGAAUUCCAGGUGUAGCGGUGAAAUGCGUAGAUAUCAUGAGGAACACCAGCGGCGAAGGCGCCGCUCUGGGCCGUAACUGACGCUGAGGAGCGAAAGCAUGGGUAGCAAACAGG
rnacentral:rRNA from 1 species